UUCAAGGUAAUACGAUUUGCAAAUCCAUCACACCAAUUCCUCUUGGGGGAGAGUUAGUAGAAGCCUUCAGUGCUGUAUGUGGGUAUCUUCAAUAACUUCAUAUUUUUGAGUGUUUAUUCUUAGGAUGUCUAUAUCCUUUGAAACCAACACCUGCAGUUGCCAUACACUUCAGAGGACUAACUUUAGACUCACUUUGCUGGAAAAGCAGUGACUGAGAGUUUAUGCCCACACCCACCCUCUCCUGUGCCCCGUUCAGCUAAUCUAGUAUUCACUCCUCCACAGGUGUUGAUCAGGAACAAGAACACUCCCUCUAAAAUGUCCUGAAUAGAAUCUCAAUCUCUGAGUGUGAUACCUGGAGAAUUCUGCCUAUUAUGAUUUGCAAACAGGAUGCAACCUGUGGAGAAGGAACUGCUCUAAGAAUUAGAACUGAAGCUUUCUUCCUGGAUUCCCCAAACUCAUACAAUAACCCCAGCAAUUCAGUCCCAGAACUAUGGAGUGACUCAAGGUGCCAAGGGCAUGCGGACUUAUGGUCUGAGCUGGGAAGGCACAGAGGGCUAGAGAUGAUUACCAGAGCUGAGUGACAGAACCUGACCGGUAUGAGAGAUUACAAAAUUUGAUACAGUUAAAGGGGAUCUUCUU
rnacentral:lncRNA from 1 species